rnacentral:tRNA from 1 species
UUGGAUGUCGACAAGCGGUAAGUCACAUGACUCUGACUCAUGUAUUCGUAGGUUCGAAUCCUACCGUCCAAG